rnacentral:rRNA from 1 species
GAUGAACGCUGGCGGCGUGCCUAAUACAUGCAAGUCGAGCGAAUGGAUUAAGAGCUUGCUCUUAUGAAGUUAGCGGCGGACGGGUGAGUAACACGUGGAUAACCUGCCCAUAAGACUGGGAUAACUCCGGGAAACCGGGGCUAAUACCGGAUAACAUUUUGAACCGCAUGGUUCGAAAUUGAAAGGCGGCUUCGGCUGUCACUUAUGGAUGGACCCGCGUCGCAUUAGCUAGUUGGUGAGGUAACGGCUCACCAAGGCAACGAGGCGUAGCCGACUUGAGAGGGUGAUCGGCCACACUGGGACUGAGACACGGCCCAGACUCCUACGGGAGGCAGCAGUAGGGAAUCUUCCGCAAUGGACGAAAGUCUGACGGAGCAACGCCGCGUGAGUGAUGAAGGCUUUCGGGUCGUAAAACUCUGUUGUUAGGGAAGAACAAGUGCUAGUUGAAUAAGCUGGCACCUUGACGGUACCUAACCAGAAAGCCACGGCUAACUACGUGCCAGCAGCCGCAGUAA